AUUCAGGCAGCUGAUGGAGAUACUGACCUGAUGUUGAGCUAUGGCUUCCUACCAUUAACAAGCAUUAACCUGACAAGGAUGUGAGUGAGCCACCUUGGAAGUCCGUCCUCCAGUCCCAGUCAUGUCUUUAGAUGACUACAGCCUCAGCUGAGAAUCUGAGCAUAAUGUCAUGAGAGUCUUGAAGCUAGAACUACUCAGCCAAGCUGCCUCUGAAUUCCUAACUCACAAAAACUGAGCCAAGUCAGUCCACGUGGAAGGAAGAGCCAGUCUGUAUGUCUUAGGCUGUGUCCAAAAACACUGCACAGAGAGCUGAGUUCUUGUAAAGAGAAGACCUUUCUCUUCUUCCUUGAACUUGUUCCAAGCCCUGGAAAUUUUGGCUAGUGAGAUACAGGUAGAAAAGUAGAGGCCCACAGAAAGAAGAAGAGAACGUGCUGACUACACCUCAUUUUUGUCAAAGCAUUUCUAGAGGUAGGUACAAUUGGAAGGAUGGUUAACACCUCAAAUUGAAAAUGGCUUUAAAAUAUCUGUUAUAAUUGGGCAUUAAAGUUGGUAAACUAAAACUGUCUUCUGUGACGUUAAAUUGUUGUAGUGUGUCUAAUUCCAAAAGAUUGACCAAUGGUCAUAUGGAACCUGCCUAAGUUUGUAUUUAAGUUCAGGUGAAGAAGAAAGUCCACUGAAUAUUUUUAAGAGAUGAGAGAGACAUGAAUAGAGCUCCUUCCCAUUCUCUCCUGCACAUCAUACCCUUAUUUUUCUGUGACUGUUUUGCUAAGCACUGAUGAUCUGGAGAUGUACUGUUGUACCUGAUACUGCUUCUGCUCUAUAGCAGCUCACAGACUUACUUAAAUUAACAUAUUUAAAGAUGUUUAGACUAUUGUGUGUAAUAAAUGUAAGUAAUACUUGCUGUAAUUAUAGUGAUUAGAAAGUGUACACAAAAUACAUACUAAAUAGUAUCUAAUCGGAUGGAGGAUAGGUGUUCAAGGAAUUUCCUACUAUUAUGGUUACAUUAGAACAAGAUUUUACAGGAUUAAUAAAAGACCUUUGGAUGCACAUGAAUGAGCAGGUAAUCCAAAUGUCAUGUGCAAAGAUAUUAAACACAAAAAAGGAAGGCGCAUUUUCAGACAUGUUAUAAGAUUUUGCCUUGUUUGUAUUUUGCUUUUUCUUAAUAGACUAAAUAAUACCCCAUAGUAGAUGCCUUACUUAAAGUAAUAAUUUAUAACCAGAAUAAUAUUUUAAUGGGAAGAACAAGAUGCUUAUCUAUUAGCCCUGAAUUUUUCUACCAGCUAACUUUUGACUUUGAGCAAUUUAUGAAAUAUCGCAAGGCCUUAAUUUUCUCAUCUUCAAAGCAGAACAGUUGCCCAGAGUAUUUUUCAACUCCAAUUAUUCACAAUUGUAUCAUUUUAUCGUUUGGUGGUAAGAUAGGUUUUUAGGAAUAAUUAAAAUCAUCACUAUGGUAUUAGUGAUAUAUAACUUAUAAAAAUAGAAAGGGCUACUUGAUGUUUAAAAGGAAAAUAUUUCAUUUAAACCUUUAAUAUCAUCACAAUUUAUCUAAUAAUCAGUUUCAAGAGUAAUCAAGGUGAUCCAUGUAAAUAAGUAGAUUAUCUCCUUGGUUUCUGCCAAUGAAGGUUAACAAAAUCCACAAUAUUUCAGACCUUCAGAAUGCAAUAAAAUGCCAUAAAGAAAUUGAUCAUGAAGCUAAAUUAGCUGAACUCCCCCUUGAACCCUGUUUUUCUUUUGAUAAGAAAAACAAAUCAGGGGACUUUCCUUGAAUUACAAAAAGAAUAAAAAGUAAAUCAGGACACCUUUUUUUUAAAAAAAAAUAACCCUCCCAGGUUCGAGACAAUGAGAUCAUCUCAAAUGCAGCAAUAUUCAGUUUUGUAGAAAUUGCCAAAUAUGUUGAAACUUGUGGUACCAGUGAUACAUGAUUUAUUAAGAGCUAACUUAAUAAGAAUUAAUACAGUAUCUAUCACCAAAGUAAGAAUAAAUUCAAACACGCUGUUUAGGACUAAGCAAUUUUCUUCAAAUGUUUGCCAUUUAUUUAAGCAUUUAUUUAUUUGACAAUACUUUUUUGAGCAAUACUGUUUGACCAGCCUUAUGCUAGGUAUUGGGAAUGUAGUUAUGAUCAAGACUAAAAGUAUCCUUACCCUUAUAUAAGGAGCUUGCAUUAUAUCAUGGAAAAACUAAACAAGUAAUUAUUUAAGUAAAAAGUUAUGAUAAAUGCCAUAAAAAGAAUAAACAAUUUAGUAUACCUCAGGGCACCUGAUUUGCAUAAGGAUGUCUUAAAAAGGGCUUCAGGGACACCUCCUUGAGGAAAUAUAAUCUGAACUGAGAAGGAAAAGUAAGGGUGAGCCAGUCCUGAAAAGACGCGAGUCAACCCAAAGUAACAAAAAAUAAACACAACCUAGAAAUAGAUCCAAAUAUGGAUUAAGUCAUAGGGUAGUCUAUCAUCAGCAGAGUCUGUAACUUAAUAUUCUUGUCACCUUGAAAUUGGCCACAGUAAAUUAUUAAAAUUACAGAUAAAAAUACCAUCCCUUUAGUAUCCCAUUCUAUCCUGAACAAUCCCAGCCAAAGCAAUUCUGUCAAAAUCUGGAUGAUAUAAGCUUUUGUUUAUUGUUGUUCCACAAUCAUUGUUAAAACCAAUGAUCACAGAGAUAAAGAAUAUCAACAUAUUAGACAUCCACUGCAAACAAACCAUGGUAUGUGGAAGAAAAAUAGGAAAACCUUUGGGUGAGUUUUGUCUCUAACAGGUAAAGCUACUGAAUAUAUUUUCCUUUCUCAGCCCAGCACUCAACUCUCCCAUGCUAUUGAAUUUGCCAGUUCUGUUGCAAUUGUUCCUAAACAACCUUCAGUGGUGUCACCUACGUUGUGAAUGACUUAAUAUAGCAGAAAAACAUUUACACUGGAUCCAGAGAAAUCCUGACUUGAAUAAAAGACUGCAUUAUUACCAGCUAUAAUGAAUCCAGGGUGUAAUUAUAUACAAGAGUGGCAAACAUAUUUUUGCAGUGUUCUGACAGUAAUAACCCGAGGUACUGUACAUAUGCUUGUAAUUCUUGUCCCAGUCAAGCUGGAAUUCAUAGUUGAUCAUUUGGUAUUUAGAUUAGAGGUCAAUUAUGAAAAUAUAAGCUGGGUAUGGGAAAAGUCACACACACAAUACAUAACACAGAUGGUCAAAGAGAUAUCUAGCUCAGCUAUCUACAAAGUUUUUCUUCUGUCAUUUAAAAAAAUAUAUAUAAAACAUCAUCUUUUAAAUGGUUUAAAUGUAUGAACAGGCACAAGAUUUGGCCCAAAUUAGGUAGUGGAUAAAGGUGUGUGUUUUGUUGUUGUUUUUCAGACUAUUUCUGUGGAAUGUAUCUACACAGCACACAAAAUUUACCACUUUACAGUUUUCUGUUUUUCAGCUUACUUCAGGGCUCAGAUAACUUUUAAUAUUUGUUUGAAAUAAAUGCAUGAUUUCCAUUAUUUUGCUAUUUAUUUAAUUUUUAGUCAAGAAAAUAUUUUCGAAAAAAUAUUGUAUUUUAGACCUCAUAAUUAACAAUGUUAAAAUUUUGAUAAAAGGAUUAUAAACAUUAACAAUCAAAUUAAAGCAGCAUUUUGUGAUCUUUCUUAUCCCUAUAAAAUAAUCCUAUGAUACUGAUUUGGAUAAUACGCAUGUUAAGAAAAUAUUUUCAAAUUCAGUAUAACAAUGAUUUGAUAUUCAAAGAUUAUAAACAAUAGCAUAACACCAAUAUAAAUAAAAAAGAGUAACUAGACUCUGUGAGUGUACUGUCUUGGGAAACAUUUAUUCCUAUAGGUAUUCCUUGGAAAGGAAUUUUUCAGAACUAUUAUAUCAUAUAUCUUUCUCAGAAGAAAAAUAACAAAGGAAAAGUCAUUCCACAUAGAAAAAGCACUAGAGGAUAUGCAAAUAUACUGAAAAUGCAGUCAUGUUUCUUUCUAUCCUCCCAAGGGUUUGCUACCCUUUGAGCACGACUGUCAUUUCAAAUUCUUGCCAAUGUAGGCAUAACAUAUAACUCAAUUUUAUUAUCAACGUACUGCCCAAUAAAAUAGAUUGAAAUUCUUGAUGGGAAGGAAAAAACAUUUUAUGAAACACUUGCUUAUAAUUACUGUCAUCAUUAUUGACCAUUUAUGGGAAGAUAUUUUGACUUUUGAGUUAUCAUAUUAUACGUUAUAUUCUUAUAUAAUCUUUUUCUUCCCCUAGAGUGCAACUAAAUGCAUGUAUUGAAACCUGGAUCUAAUGAGAUCGUGAAGAUAUCAUUUUACUAAUCUUUUAUUUAUGUCCCACACUUGGUAGGGCACAAUUCAGAGAAAGCAAUAAACAUUAUCUGUUAAUUAUUGAGUUGCCAGAAUUUUUCAUUUUUAGGAAUACAAGAUUUGUAGACAUCCUAAAGAAAAAUAAAUUAAUAAAACUUUUCCAAAUUAGCCAGAUGACACAUUAAAACAGAAUAAAAAGCAAAGCCAAAAGUUGAUGUUUGUUUGGUUGCGUUCUGAUCACAGACACUUGAAACCUUUGCUCUAUGUAAAACAUUGAAAAUAAGUGAAAAGAUAGCUACAUGUUUUUAUUAAGCUAUCUUCACACCCCUCCCCACCUACGAGAAUUUCCUAGUAUUAUACAAAUGUGAAGAUUCACACUUAGCCCAGGAUAGGAGAGAGAAUGAUUGUGAUUAUCUGUCAUUGUUAAAGCUUUCAGUGUUCAAUUACCAUGAAAUGUAUGUAUGGAAUCCCACUGAGUAAGUCUAAGACACUGUUAGAUCUGUAUAAUGUUACCCAUUCAAAUAGGUUAUUUUCACAAUGUAGUAAUGAGCACAGGGAAGACAUACUCACUUGUUGAAGGGAUGUUGGGCUAUGUGAUCUACUGCAGUCAUAGUACAUUUACAUUUCGACUCAAAUUGUUUUAUCACUUGGCAUUUUUUCUUCCUUUUAAAAAAUAAGUUUCCAAUAUGCUAUGUAGGAAGCUGAUAUCUUAAGCUAUUAUAAGCUCACAGUUACUACUAAGAUAUUUUGAAAUACUUUGUCAGAAUUUGGAGGAAGGUCACAAAAGACAAGUAAAAGGUAUGCCAAGUGGAAAAUAUUCUCCUGAAGCCAGAAAAAUAGUGUUUGCUAUCUGAAGACUGGAGAGGCAUACCAAAAAAGUCUGUCUAGUUCACAAUUUCUCUAAAGUUAGAACCUAUUUUUGAGUAUCUCAUCCUUGAGUAUGUGAGUCAUUCAAUAGGGUUUCUUCGGUUAACUAAAAUUACACAUAAUUAUAUUCUAAUUUAAACAUUCAUUCACAGUUAAAAUUAAGUAUUCUAUGUAUACAUUAUGAAUAAGAAGAAAUUAAAGAGUAAAUUUAGAAAUAACUUUAUGACCUAUAUUUAUUCACCCAAUCAACAAUUAUUUCUUAAACUACCAUUGUGUUCUGGGUCAGUGUUUGGCUUUGGGGACAUAGAGAGGUUAGAGUAUUGCACAGGUGAGAACUUGACCUCCUGCUUAUGACUGGAUCUCAGAUCCUCACGGAUUCAUCUACAUCCUGUGAUAUUUCUAUGCAGUUUUCAAAGACUCAGAUAGACAUACGUUAUGGACUGAAUGUUUGUGUCCUCCCAAAAUGCAUAUAUCCAAAUCUUAACCUCCCGUCUGAUAGUAUUGGGAGGUGUGGCCUUUGGGAGGGAAUUAGGUCAUGUGGGUGGAACGUUCAUGAAGUGGAAUUAGUGCCCUUAUAAGAGGAGGCAGGAGAAUUUUUUCCCUCUACUCUCUCUCAUUUGCUUUCUCUCUCUCUUUCUCUCUCUCUCUCUCUCUCUCUCCCCCCCUCCUCUCUCUGCCAUAUGAGGACAUAGUGAAAAGACAGCCAUCUGCAAGCCAGAAAGAGAGUCCUCACCAGACACUGAAUCUGCUGACACCUUGAGCUUGGAUUUCCCAGCCUCCAGAGAUGUGAGAAAUAAAUGUUUGUUGUUUA